rnacentral:lncRNA from 1 species
GUGGCUAUCUACUGGCUUAUUUUUUAAAAUUGAAGGCUGGAAGUUUUGACAUGCUCAAAGAAGCAAACGUUACCUGCAGAAGCAUCGGCAUCUGCCUCAGGAAACCUAGUAGGUGAGUCUAAUUGGAAAAUUGUGUUUCUUGGAGUUCAUUGCACUGCUGAACAGAUGGGCCAAUGAUUAGCUAAAAAGCUGGAUCGCCAAGUGAGUUCCAUGUUUAAUGAAAGUCCCAAGCCUUGUUUCUCACAGAGCACAGUGAACACGUUAAUUAAAAAAAAAAAGAUAAAAUACCCAAAUAAAAUAUUCUUUGUUGUUGUUGUUGUUGUUGUUGGCGGUUUUUUGUUGUU